GACGAACGCUGGCGGCGUGCCUAAUACAUGCAAGUAGAACGCUGAAGGAGGAGCUUGCUUCUCUGGAUGAGUUGCGAACGGGUGAGUAACGCGUAGGUAACCUGCCUGGUAGCGGGGGAUAACUAUUGGAAACGAUAGCUAAUACCGCAUAAGAGUAGAUGUCGCAUGACAUUUGCUUAAAAGGUGCAAUUGCAUCACUACCAGAUGGACCUGCGUUGUAUUAGCUAGUUGGUGAGGUAACGGCUCACCAAGGCAACGAUACAUAGCCGACCUGAGAGGGGGAUCGGCCACACUGGGACUGAGACGCGGCCCAGACUCCUACGGGAGGCAGCAGUAGGGAAUCUUCGGCAAUGGACGGAAGUCUGACCGAGCAACGCCGCGUGAGUGAAGAAGGUUUUCGGAUCGUAAAGCUCUGUUGUAAGAGAAGAAAGAGUGUGAGAGUGGAAAGUUCACACUGUGACGGUAUCUUACCAGAAAGGGACGGCUAACUACGUG
rnacentral:rRNA from 1 species